GACGAACGCUGGCGGCGUGCCUAAUACAUGCAAGUCGAGCGGACUGAAUGUGAGCUUGCUCUUGUUCGUUCAGCGGCGGACGGGUGAGUAACACGUGGGCAACCUGCCCGCAAGACCGGGAUAACUCCGGGAAACCGUAGCUAAUACCGGAUAACACCGAAGACCUCAUGGUCUUUGGUUGAAAGGCGGCGCACGCUGCCACUUGCGGAUGGGCCCGCGGCGCAUUAGCUAGGUGGUGAGGUAACGGCCCACCAAGGCGACGAUGCGUAGCCGGCCUGAGAGGGUGAAAGGCCAAACUGGGACUGAGACAAGGCCCAGACCCCUACGGGAGGCAGCAGUAGGGAAUCUUUCGCAAUGGGGGGAAGCCUGACGGAGCGAAGGCGGGUGGGCGAAGAAGGCCUUCGGGUCGGAAAGGUCUGUUGUGAGGGAAGAAGGAGGGCCGUUUGAAGAAGGCGGCGCGGUGACGGUACCUGAAGAGGAAGCCCCGGCUAACUACGUG
rnacentral:rRNA from 1 species